GGGCCCGCACAAGCGGUGGAGCAUGUGGCUUAAUUCGAGGCAACGCGAAGAACCUUACCUGGUCUUGACAUGCCCGUCAUAGUUUUCCGAAAGGAAUUCGUCGGUUCGGCCGGACGGUGCACAGGUGCUGCAUGGCUGUCGUCAGCUCGUGUCGUGAGAUGUUCGGUUAAGUCCGGCAACGAGCGCAACCCCUCGUUCCUAGUUGCCAGCGGGUAAUGCCGGGGACUCUAGGAAGACAAACCUCGUGUAGAGGUGGGAAGGUGGGACGACGUCAAGUCAGUAUGGCCCUUACGACCAGGGCUGCACACGUGCUACAAUGCUCGGUACAAUGGGACGCAAUACCGCGAGGUUGAGC
rnacentral:rRNA from 1 species